UACGUAGGGACCAAGCGUUGUUCGGAUUUACUGGGCGUAAAGGGCGCGUAGGCGGCGCGGUAAGUCACUUGUGAAAUCUCUGAGCUUAACUCAGAACGGCCAAGUGAUACUGCAGUGCUAGAGUGUGGAAGGGGCAAUCGGAAUUCCUGGUGUAGCGGUGAAAUGCGUAGAUAUCAAGAGGAACACCUGAGGUGAAGACGGGUUGCUGGGCCAACACUGACGCUGAGGCGCGAAAGCCAGGGGAGCAAACGGG
rnacentral:rRNA from 1 species